CACGUAGGUGGCGAGCGUUAUUCGGAUUUACUGGGCGUAAAGGGUCCGCAGGGGGCGUGCCGAGCCAGCUGUGAAAAUCCGGGGCUCAACCCCGGACCUGCAGUUGGGACUGGCGCGCUAGAGUGCACGAUGGGCAGACGGAACACCUGGUGUAGCGGUGGAAUGCGUGGAUAUCAGGUGGAACACCGAUGGCGAAGGCGGUCUGCUGGCGUGCGACUGACCCUCAGGGACGAAAGCGUGGGUAGCGAAC
rnacentral:rRNA from 1 species